rnacentral:rRNA from 1 species
GUGCCAGCAGCCGCGGUAAUACGUAGGGUGCGAGCGUUAAUCGGAAUUACUGGGCGUAAAGCGUGCGCAGGCGGUCUUGUAAGACAGUCGUGAAAGCCCCGGGCUUAACCUGGGAACUGCGAUUGUGGCUGCAAGGCUAGAGUGUGUCAGAGGGGGGUGGAAUUCCACGUGUAGCAGUGAAAUGCGUAGAGAUGUGGAGGAACACCGAUGGCGAAGGCAGCCCCCUGGGAUAACACUGACGCUCAUGCACGAAAGCGUGGGGAGCAAACAGGAUUAGAUACCCUGGUAGUCCACGCCCUAAACGAUGUCAACUAGGUGUUGGGUGGGUAAAACCAUUUAGUACCGGAGCUAACGCGUGAAGUUGACCGCCUGGGGAGUACGUCCGCAAGGUUAAAACUUAAAUGAAUUGGCGG